UACAGAGGUCUCAAGCGUUGUUCGGAUUCAUUGGGCGUAAAGGGUGUGUAGGUGGCGCGCUAAGUCGGGUGUGAAAUUUCGGAGCUUAACUCCGAAACUGCAUUCGAUACUGGCGUGCUUGAGGACUGGAGAGGAGACUGGAAUUCAUGGUGUAGCAGUGAAAUGCGUAGAGAUCAUGAGGAAGACCAAUGGCGAAGGCAGCUCGCUGGGACGGUACUGACGCUGAGACGCGAAAGCGUGGGGAGCAAACAGG
rnacentral:rRNA from 1 species